rnacentral:rRNA from 1 species
AGCUCCAAUAGCGUAUAUUAAUGCUGUUGCGGUUAAAAAGCUCGUAGUUGGAUCUCGGCAGUCAGGGGGCGGUUCAUUUUUUGAUGCUACUGCCCCAUUUGACUGUGAUGUUUUGGCGGAGGUUGUUGGGUGCUCUUAACCGAGUGUCCUGCGGCGCCGUCAGGUUUACUUUGAAAAAAUUAGAGUGCUCAAAGCAGGCUUUACACGCUUGAAUAUUCGUGCAUGGAAUAAUGGAAUAGGACGUCGUUUCUAUUUUGUUGGUUUUCGGAAAUCGACGUAAUGAUUAAUAGGGACAGUCGGGGGCAUUAGUAUUCAGACGACAGAGGUGAAAUUCUUGGACCGUCUGAAGACUAACUACUGCGAAAGCAUUUGCCAAGAAUGUUUUCAUUAAUCAAGAACG